rnacentral:rRNA from 1 species
AUUGAACGCUGGCGGCAGGCCUAACACAUGCAAGUCGAGCGGAUGACGGGAGCUUGCUCCUUGAUGCAGCGGCGGACGGGUGAGUAAUGCCUAGGAGUCCGCCUGGUAGUGGGGGACAACGUUUCGAAAGGAACGCUAAUACCGCAUACGUCCUACGGGAGAAAGCAGGGGACCUUCGGGCCUUGCGCUAUCAGAUGAGCCUAGGUCGGAUUAGCUAGUUGGUGGGGUAAUGGCUCACCAAGGCGACAAUCCGUAACUGGUCUGAGAGGAUGAUCAGUCACACUGGAACUGAGACACGGUCCAGACUCCUACUGGAGGCAGCAGUGGGGAAUAUUGGACAAUGGGCGAAAGCCUGAUCCAGCCAUGCCGCGUGUGUGAAGAAGGUCUUCGGAUUGUAAAGCACUUUAAGUUGGGAGGAAGGGCAGUAAGUUAAUACCUUGCUGUUUUGACGUUACCGACAGAAUAAGCACCGGCUAACUCUGUGCCAGCCGCCGCCGUAA